GACAAGGUUAAAACUCAAAGGAAUUGACGGGACCCGCACAAGCGGUGGAUGAUGUGGAUUAAUUCGAUGCAACGCGAAAAACCUUACCUACCCUUGACAUGCUAGGAACCCUGCUGAGAGGCGGGGGUGCCCGAAAGGGAGCCUAGACACAGGUGCUGCAUGGCUGUCGUCAGCUCGUGUCGUGAGAUGUUGGGUUAAGUCCCGCAACGAGCGCAACCCUUGCCGCUAAUUGCCAUCAUUCAGUUGGGCACUUUAGUGGGACUGCCGGUGACAAACCGGAGGAAGGUGGGGAUGACGUCAAGUCCUCAUGGCCCUUAUGGGUAGGGCUUCACACGUCAUACAAUGGCGCAUACAGAGGGCUGCAAAACCGCGAGGUGGAGCCAAUCCCAGAAAGUGCGUCGUAGUCCGGAUUGCAGUCUGCAACUCGACUGCAUGAAGUCGGAAUCGCUAGUAAUCGCGGAUCAGCAUGUCGCGGUGAAUACGUUCCCGGGUC
rnacentral:rRNA from 1 species